AAAAGUCGUAACAAGGUUUCCGUAGGUGAACCUUCGGAAGGAUCAUUACCGAAAUGCAGCGGGGCUUCGGCCUCUGCGUACGCAUUCCACCCACCCUUGACUUUGAGCACCGUAUGUUUCCUCGGCGGGGACGCCCGCCAGCGAGGACUCUUCAAAACCUUUGCAGUAGCAGUAUUUGUCUGAAAUAAAUCAAAACUAUUAAAACUUUCAACAAUGGAUCUCUUGGUUCUG
rnacentral:misc_RNA from 1 species